rnacentral:rRNA from 1 species
AUCGAACGCUGGCGGCAGGCCUAACACAUGCAAGUCGACCGAGUGGCGGACGGGUGAGUAAGGUCUGGGAAACUGCCUGAUGGAGGGGGAUAACUACUGGAAACGGUAGCUAAUACCGCAUACCAUCGGAUGUGCCCAGAUGGGAUUAGUUAGUAGGUGGGGUAAAGGCUCAACUAGGCGACGGUCCCUAGCUGGUCUGUGAGGAUGACCAGCCACACUGGAACUGAGACACGGUUCAGACUCCUACGGGAGGCAGCAGUGGGUAAUAUUGCACAAUGGGCGCCAGCCUGAUGCAGACAUGCCGCGUGUAUGAAGAAGGCCGUCGGGUUGUAAGGUACGUUCAGCGGGGAGGCGUUACCCGCAGAAGAAGCACCGGCUAACUCCGUGCCAGCAGCCGCGGUAAUUC